ensembl:lincRNA
GGGGCCCUGCAGUGCACUCCUGACAGGUGCUAAAGCCAGCAGCCUUUGGGAUGCACAGACUUGGGGGGCUGGAGGCCUGGCAGCCAAGGCCCAGGGGGAAUCCAGGACCUGGAACUCUGGUCUCUCAGCUUUGGUUUUUCCCACAGGUGAGAUCGAGGCUCUCGGGAGCCCACGUGGGUCACCUGGAGUUGGUGCUGGAGGACAGGGGUGUCUCCUCUGUCAAGCCCAGUGGCUGCCACCAGACGGAGGCGGUCAGCGUCCUGCACUGGCCACAGGCCGGGAGGAGCGGCCGGCACCUAGUGCAGCACCAGCCAGAGGCUGUGGGCCCAGAGCAGCACACACGGCACCGCCAGCUCGAGCUGCAACACGAGUGCUCCUGCACCCAGGUCCCCGGCUUCAGCCCCAAGCGCGCCCGCGUCCCUGGGGUGCUAGGCAUGGGCUCCGGCACAGGACUGAUGGCCCGAGGACCCCGUGUGCCGCCUUCCAGCUCUGUCCACACUCUGGAGUUGGCGCUUCCCAGUCUUGCUGGAGCCUUCUUUUUGUCGCAGGCUUCCAGUGAUCUGCCUCUUUUGACCAAGCCCCGCCUCUGAACUUGAGAUGGAAACUCUGAAAGGCUCAGGUCUACCUCAUUACGCGAAGUCUCUGAGAAUGACCAGUCUUAACGGUUCCUGCACCGCUAAAAAGUCCAACUCCGAAGUCUCCUCUGAGGCUCAAGGCAAGCUCUUAGCCGUGAUCCAAAAGGAAAGUGAAGUGCUUCCGACAUCCAGGGGUACAGGGUAAGCGCUCUCAUUCCAGAAGGGGAUAGAAAUGCACUGGCCCAAAGCAGGACUGAGGCUGGACACGGCCAACAGUAAGUCCUGCAGUUCAGGGUGCUGAGAGGUGGCAAGAGGUGAGCUGCAGAGGGCUCGGGCAGCUAUGGCAUCAUCAGUUGCGGCCCAGUCUCUCUCUCUCUCUCUGGCUCUGCGCAGCGCCUAUUGCUUCCCUCGCUGCACAUCCCACAUUCCUGGCAUCUCCGACUUCCUGGGGUCUCCACUGCGCCUUUGAGUUCCCUCUCUCAGCUGCGCGCCCUCCCGGUCAGGGCCACACGGCCUGGGCAGAAGCCUCUGUGAACCUGUACGCCUUGCCUCCCGCAUCCCCGGAAAACCAGUAUCAUGCGAAUGACUCCAAAGCCUGCGCCAGCUUGAGCAGCAGCCGGGCCCCCUGGGACCAUAGCCGUGGCAGCCUCUGAGCGCCUCAAUGGCUGAGCAGGGUGGGAUGAACCGAGGGCACCAGGUCCCCAGGGGGCCCGGCUUAGUCUCCAAGUUGCUCUCCUCCUCCCUCGGCCUCCAGAGUAGCGGGGUGAUAGGAGAGCACCGCUGUGCUUUCUUUAACUCUCCUGUCUUGUUGGAAGGUGGAGGGCAGGGAGAAGAACACAGGAGCGGUGGCGGCUGGGGUGGAGCCGGGGCAGUGUCCGAGGCCCGGAGCUGCACCGUGGGAUCCUGGCCGACGCCCUUCUCCAGCUGGGCCGCAGGUCCUGAGAGGCCCGUGGGUCUCACCCACCCGAAGGGCAGCGCGCUGGGGGCCACCCUUGGGGGAAGGACGCGUCCCAGGCCCUGCUGUGGGGUCGGGAGGGGAGGUGAGCGUCAGCUGUGGGGCCUCCUGGGCCGAUGGCUCCUGUUACGGCUUCUAGACCUGUGCUCAGGCUGUGGCCCCUGCCUGGACGCCUUGGUCAUGUGCAGGGCUAAGCAAGGCUCACACCUCGUUGGUGCCCCGUGGCACUUGUAAUUGCUCGCUCAUUUCUCACCUUGGCUAAUGCAGCCCUACAUCGGUUGGAUUUUCGGGGAUUGAACUCGGGUCCUUGCGUUUGCAAGGCAGGCGCUGGCACCACGGAGCAGGUCAUGCUCUGUCCGCAGGCCCUGACCCCAUUCUCCCUGUUACCUGUUACCUUCCAGCCCCUCAGGUCUCACUUGUGUUCCCCGAACAUACCUCAGGGUCUUUCUGUUGCUGUGCCUUUUCCCUAAAAAAAUGUUUUUUCACUUUGAAAAAAUGUAUUUACUGUAGUUUAUUCUAAAAUUAGCUUUUAUUUUUAUUCAAGUCAUACAAAAUUUAAAAGUGGAUUAGUCUGUCCAUAUUGGGUUAAUUAUGUUACUUGGGGACUAAUUAUAUUAUACUCUGCUCAUGCAUGUAUAUAAAAUUCAUUUUUUAAAGUAAAGUUUAUAAGAAAAAUUAUUCUUUGUCUCCCAUCUUCCUAUCCCAAGUCUUGGUGGCCAUAGGAACCACUAUAAAUGUCUUAGCUGUCUCUCCAGUUAUACCUUUUGAAGUAAUAUAAUCAUGCUGUUAUUUCUUGACUUUCUUGACUUUUCUGUUUUAGGCUUUGCCUGUAGAUUUUUUACUAGAAAGGAUUGAGAAUUUAACUCUUACCUUAGCCCUUUUCAAGAAGCGGUUUCCCCAUCUUCUUUUUUUUUUU